rnacentral:misc_RNA from 1 species
GGAAGGAUCAUUAACACUUAAUUAUUCCUUCUUAAUGCCUUUGUUGAACUCGUGAUUCGUCUGUUCAAUUUUUCAAAACAUUUACUUUAUUAUACUUUAUUUAAGCUUUUUCUUUCAAAGAAAAGCUCUAAAUAACAAAAAACAACUGCUAGCAUUGGAUGUCUUGGUUCUCGCAACGAUGAAGAACGCAGCGAAAUGCGAUAAGUAAUGUGAAUCGUAGAAUUCAGUGAAUCAUCAAAUCUUGAACGCAUAUGGCGCUUUUGGGUACUCCCAGGAGCAUACCUGUUUGAGAAUCAUCACUUCAUCUCAUUCCUAAUUCAUUUUAGGAAUGGUAAUUGAGCGCUUCAUUUGUGCUCGUCAUAAAUGUCGCUCUAAGUGCAUCUAAAAAACAUUGACACUAACAUGAGAAGUCUUGUUCUUAUCUGAAUGGCUUGCUAAGGCUUUCAUUAGCCACUUGCUAUUCAUUCUAAGAUAUGCUUCUUUUUAGCCAAUGAUUCUUUUAGUCUCCAAACUUUAAAUCAAACCAUGAUCUCAAAUCAGGCAAGACUACCCGCUGAAUUUAAGCAUAUCAUUAAGCGGAGGAAAAGAAACUAACAAGGAUUCCCCUAGUAACGGCGAGUGAAGCGGGAAUAGCUCAAUCUUAAAAUCGAAGGGUUUCACUCUUCGAGUUGUAGAGUAUAGAGGCGUCUUCGGGGGAUUGCGCAGGUAUAAGUCCCUUGGAAAAGGGCGUCAUAGAGGGUGACAACCCCGUUCAUGACUUGCGCAUGUCUUCUAUAUGAGGCGCUUUCGAAGAGUCGAGUUGUUUGGGAAUGCAGCUCUAAACGGGUGGUAAAUUUCAUCUAAAGCUAAAUAUUGGCGAGAGGACCGAUAGCGAACAAGUACCGUGAGGGAAAGAUGAAAAGAACUUUGAAAAGAGAGUUAAAAGGGCCUGAAAUUGUUUAGCAGGGAAGCGAUUAAAACUGGGCAUACGCCUUGGAUAAGGUUUGGCUUCUGGGGGUGCCAGUGUGCUUAGCGAUCGUAAGACCUAGGUAUAUUGUCAUUCUUUAGUGCCUUGCUUCUUUUCUCAGGGUGUGCGUCAGCAUCAGUUAGGGAUUCAGGAAAUGGCCUUUGGGAAGGUAGGCAGGCCAGCAAUGGUCUGCUGUUAUAGCCUGAGGGCAGCACUGUUACCUUGACUGAGGAAAUGCAGUACGCGCCAUGCUUGAGGUCUGUCUUCUUGGUAGGAGUGCAACUUAGGACAGCACCGCUGUGCUUUGUGUACUUUUGCUUACGAGGGUGGCGCCUUUCAUACGCGUGCUCCAGAUGCUGACAUAACGGUUUUAACCGACCCGUCUUGAAACACGGACCAAGGAGUCUAACAUAUAUGCGAGUAUUUGGGUGGCAAACCCAAGUGCGUAAUGAAAGUAAAACUUAGGUGCGAGCCUGUGGGUUUACCACUGGUGCAGCAUCGACCGGUCUGGAGGUUUUCUGAAAGAUCUGAGUAAGAGCAUAUCUGUUGGGACCCGAAAGAUGGUGAACUAUGCCUGAACAGGAUGAAGCCAGAGGAAACUCUGGUGGAAGUCCGUAGCGGUUCUGACGUGCAAAUCGAUCGUCAAAUUUGGGUAUAGGGGCGAAAGACUAAUCGAACCAUCUAGUAGCUGGUUCCCUC